GAAACAUUGACCAAACGAGAUAGAGGAAGAGGGCCACACCAGUGCGCUGUUGUUGUUUUUUUUUUCCAUUUUCUUUUUUUUUUUUUU
rnacentral:ribozyme from 1 species